CAGCAGGCGCGAAAACUUUACAAUGCGGGAAACCGUGAUAAGGGGACACCGAGUGCCAGCAUCAUAUGCUGGCUGUCCAGGUGUGUAAAAUACACCUGUUAGCAAGGGCCGGGCAAGACCGGUGCCAGCCGCCGCGGUAACACCGGCGGCCCGAGUGGUGAUCGUGAUUAUUGGGUCUAAAGGGUCCGUAGCCGGUUUGGUCAGUCCUCCGGGAAAUCUGACGGCUCAACCGUUAGGCUUUCGGGGGAUACUGCCAGGAUUGGAACCGGGAGAGGUAAGAGGUACUACAGGGGUAGGAGUGAAAUCUUGUAAUCCCUGUGAGACCACCUGUGGCGAAGGCGUCUUACCAGAACGGGUUCGACGGUGAGGGACGAAAGCUGGGGGCACGAACCGGAUUAGAUACCCGGGUAGUCCCAGCCGUAAACGAUGCUCGCUAGGUGUCAGGCAUGGCGCGACCGUGUCUGGUGCCGCAGGGAAGCCGUGAAGCGAGCCACCUGGGAAGUACGGCCGCAAGGCUGAAACUUAAAGGAAUUGGCGGGGGAGCACAAGGGCGAAUUCGCGG
rnacentral:rRNA from 1 species